rnacentral:lncRNA from 1 species
GCCAUAAGCUUCGGUCUCUUCUCUGACUUGCUCAUUUCAUCUCCCUGCCAGAUAGUCCACCUUCUUUCUAACCUACCCUUUCCUAUAGGCCAUAGUUUUUUAAUUGACAAACUAUGCAUCCAUACAGUACACAGAUGUUCUCUCUGCAGAUAACUGUCAUGGAGGAUUCACAGUCGGAUAUGAGCAUCGAGCUCCCUCUGAGUCAGGAGACAUUUUCAUGCUUAUGGAAACUUCUUCCUCCAGAUGAUAUUCUGCCCACCACAGCGACAGGGUCACCUAAUUCCAUGGAAGAUCUGUUCCUGCCCCAGGAUGUUGCAGAGUUGUUAGAAGGCCCAGAGGAAGCCCUCCAAGUGUCAGCUCCUGCAGCACAGGAACCUGGAACUGAGGCCCCUGCACCCGUGGCCCCUGCUUCAGCUACACCGUGGCCUCUGUCAUCUUCCGUCCCUUCUCAAAAAACUUACCAAGGCAACUAUGGCUUCCACCUGGGCUUCCUGCAGUCAGGGACAGCCAAGUCUGUUAUGUGCACGUACUCAAUUUCCCUCAAUAAGCUGUUCUGCCAGCUGGCGAAGACAUGCCCUGUGCAGUUGUGGGUCACCUCCACACCUCCACCUGGUACCCGUGUCCGUGCCAUGGCCAUCUACAAGAAGUCACAACACAUGACUGAGGUCGUGAGACGCUGCCCCCACCAUGAGCGUUGCUCUGAUGGUGACG